CUGGAUCAUUUCCCCCACUGCCACACCAACACGUGGUUAUUUCUCCAUCUUUUUCUUUUUUUUCUUUUUCUGAGACAGAGUCUCAUUCUGUCACCCAGACUGGAGUGCAAUGGCUUGAUCUCGGCUCACUGCAACCUCCGCCUCCUGGUUUCACGCAAUUCUCCUGCCUCAGCCUCCCCAGUAGCUGGGAUUACAGGCGCACACCACCAUGCCCAGCUAAUUUUUUUUUUGUAUUUUUAGUAGAGACAGGGUUUCACUGUGUUGGCCAGACUGGUCUCGAAUUCCUGACCUCGUGAACAGCCCGCCUGGGCCUCCCAAAGUGCUGGGAUUACAGGCGUGAGCCACCGCGCCCGGCUUCUCCAUCUUUUUUUUUCUUUCUUUCUUUGAGACAGGGAGUGCAGUGGCACAAUCAUGGCUCACUGCAGCCUUGACCUCCCAGACUCACGUGAUCCUCGAGCCUCAGCCUCCCGAGUAGCUUGGACUAGAAGCACACACCACCAUAGGCGAGUGUUUGUAUUUUUUGUAGAGACGGGGUUUCACCAUGUUGCCCAGGCUGGUCUCAAACUCCUGGCCUCAAGUGAUCCGCCCACCUUGGUCUCCCAAAAUGCUGGCAUUACAGGCAUGAGCUGCCACGCCCAGCCUUAUUUCUCCAUUUUACAGAGGCCUCACCUCACCCUCCAGCUACGGCUGACUUUCUUUCUUUCCCUUCACAGCUAAACUCUGUAAACAGGUAUCAGUAUUCACGACUUCCUAGUUCUCUCCUCCCACUCUCUUUAUUUUUCCCAAGUUUUGUUUUAAAAUAUUUCUUUUCUUUUUAUUUUUUUAAAUUUUUCUGAGAAGGGGUCUCGCUCUGUUGCCCAGGCUGGAGUGCAAUGGCACGAUCUCAGCUCACUGCAUCCUCCGCCUCCCGGGUUCAAGUGAUUCUCCUGCCUCAGCCUCCCAAGUAGCUGAGAUUACAGGCACAAUCCACCACGCCCGACUAAUUUUUGUAUUUUUAGUAGAGACGGAGUUUCACCAUGUUGGCCAGGUUGGUAUUGAACUCCUGGUCUCAGGUGAUCCGCCUGCCUCGGCCUCCCAAAGUGCUGGGAUUACAGGCGUGAGCCACCGCGCCCAGACUUGUUUUAAAAUAUUUCAAACCUACCAAAAAUUAUAAGAAUAGCACAUGACAUCCACAUGCCCUCUGGACUCCCCAAGUUGAUAUCUACCACAUCUGCUUCUCUCCCAUUCUCUUCUCGGCACCCCCCUCCCCUGGGGCAGAAAUCAUGCUGCUGCCUAAGAACAAAGACAGUUUUCCUACAAAACCCCAUAGAAUUGUCGCACUUGGGAAACUGAACCUUGAUAUAUAGUCUAUAUUGACAUUUUCCCAAGUGUCUAAAUAACGUUCUUACAGAUAUACUUCCUCAUAUAGGAACUAAUCAAGUUUCACACGUGGCAUUUGGUUAUGUCUGUUUAUCCUUUUUUUUUUUUUUUUUUUUUUGAGACGGAGUCUCGCUCUGUCGCCCAGGCUGGAGUGCAGUGGCGCGAUCUCGACUCACUGCAAGCUCCGCCUCCUCGGUUCACACCAUUCUCCUGCCUCAGCCUCCUGAGUAGCUGGGACUACAGGCGCCCGCCACCACGCCCGGCUAAUUUUUUGUAUUUUUGGUAGAGAUGGGGUUUCACCGUGUUAGCCAGGAUGGUCUCGAUCUCCUGACCUCGUGAUCCGCCCACCUCGGCCUCCCAAAGUGCUGGGAUUACACGCGUGAGCCACCGUGCCCAGCCUUGUUUUUUGUGGUCUUUUAUUACAUUGACUUUUUUUUUUUCUUCAAGACAGGGUCUCGCUCUGUAGCCCAGGCUGGAGUAGUAUGGCAUGAUCAGCUCACUGCAACCUCAACCUCCCGGACUCAAGUAAUCCUCCUGCCUUAGCCUCCUUAGUAGCUGGGAAUACUAGGUGCAUGCCACUACGCCCAACUAACUUUUUUAUUUUUAGUAGUGACAGAUCUCACUAUGUUGCCCAGGCUAGUCUUGAACUCCUGGGCUCAAGCAAUCUGCCCGCCUUGACCUCCCAAAGAGCUGGGAUUAUAGGCAUGAGCCACUGUGCCUGGCUGACCUUGACAUUUUGGAAGUCUUCGAGCCAGCAGCCUCGCACAGAGCUCCUCAAUGUGGAUCUCCCUGGUGGUCCUCAGAAAGUUUCAAACUGAGCGUUCAGGCGGGGACACCACAGAGCUGUGUGUUCUUGCUAUUUGCCUGUAAUGCUGGAUCCUCUGGGGACCUCUGUACCUUGUAGAGUCCCUUUUUCCCCUAUAAUUAAUAAGUAAUCUGUGGCAUGGCACUUUGAGAUGUCUUGUUCCCCAGUAAUCUCACUCAAUCAGUUGAGGUCAGGAGUUCAAGACCAGCCUGGCCAACAUGACAAAACCCCAUCUCUACUAAAAAUAUAAAAAAUUGCCAGGCACGGUGGCUCAUGCCUGUAAUCCUAGCACUUUGGGAGGCCGAGGCGGGUGGAUUGCCUGAGCUCAGGAGUUCGAUAGCAGCCUGGGCAACACGGUGAAACCCCGUCUCUACUAAAAUACAAAAAAAUUAGCCAGUCGUGGCAGCGUACGCCUGUAGUCCCAGCUACUCAGGAGGCUGAGGCAGGAGAAUUGCUUGAACCGGGGGCAGAGGUUGCAGUGAGCCGAGAUCACACCACUGCACUCCAGCCUGAGUGACAGAGCGAGACUUUGUCUCCAAAAAAAAAAAAAUUAGCCAGGCAUGGUGAUGUGAGCUUGCGGUCCUAAGAGCUUUAGCAUACAUAGAUGAUUUUAACCUAAAUCAAUUAUUUGAUUCUUCUGAUGGCUGCAAGGUGGGGGAUUUCCUUUUUUUUUUUGAGACAGGGUCUCACUCUGUCACCCAAUCUGGAGUGCAGUGCCGCAAUCUCGGCUCACUGCAACCUCUACCUCCUGGGUUCAAGUGAUUCUCCUGCCUCACCGUCCCAAGUAGCUGGGACUACAGGCAUGUACCACCAUACCCAGCUAAUUUUUAGUAGAGAUAGGAUUUCGCCAUGUUGCACAGCCUGGUCUCGAACUCCUGGGCUCAACUGAUCCGCCCGCCUCAGCCUCCCAAAGUGCUGGAAUUAGUGCUGGGAUUACAGGUGUGAGCCACCAUAUCAGCUUGGGGUCACUCUUGACAUUCUCUGUUAUGCCCCCAUCUGGUCAGCCCGAAAAUCCCGCUGGCUCCACCUUUAGUAUCUGUGGCCUCAACCCAGCCACAGCUCAUAAGCGUGCCACUGCCCAGCCACCUUUUAGCUAGAUGACAACAAUGGCCUCAAAACUGGCCUCACUGCUACCCCCAUCCCCCACAAUAUGUUGUCCAUGUGCAGCUAGAGUGGGCCCUGUUCAAAGAGGAGUCCCACUGUAUCUACUCAAAACCCUCCAAGGGUUCCCAUCUCACUCUGAAUAAAAGCCAAAAGGGGCCAGGAGCAGUGGCUAUGCCUGUAAUCCCAGCACUUUGGGAGGCCGAGGCGGGCGGGUCACCUGAGGUUGGGAGUUCGAGACCAGCCUGACCAACAUGGAAGAAACCCUGUCUCUACUAAAAAUACAAAAUUAGCUGGGCAUGGUGGCGCAUGCCUGUAAUCCCAGCUACGCGGGAGGCUGAAGCAGGAGAAUCGCUUGAAUACGGGAGGCAGAGGUUGCAGUGAGCCGAGAUUGUGCCAUCGCACUCCAGCCUGGGGCAAAACUCCGUCUCAAAAUAAAUAAAUAAAUAAAUAAAUAAAUAAAUAAAUA
rnacentral:lncRNA from 1 species